rnacentral:rRNA from 1 species
AGCAGUGGGGAAUAUUGGACAAUGGGCGCAAGCCUGAUCCAGCAAUGCCGCGUGAGUGAUGAAGGCCUUCGGGUCGUAAAGCUCUUUUACCAGGGAUGAUAAUGACAGUACCUGGAGAAUAAGCUCCGGCUAACUCCGUGCCAGCAGCCGCGGUAAUACGGAGGGAGCUAGCGUUGUUCGGAAUUACUGGGCGUAAAGCGCACGUAGGCGGUUACUCAAGUCAGAGGUGAAAGCCCGGGGCUCAACCCCGGAACUGCCUUUGAAACUAGGUGACUGGAAUCUUGGAGAGGCGAGUGGAAUUCCGAGUGUAGAGGUGAAAUUCGUAGAUAUUCGGAAGAACACCAGUGGCGAAGGCGACUCGCUGGACAAGUAUUGACGCUGAGGUGCGAAAGCGUGGGGAGCAAACAGGAUUAGA